rnacentral:rRNA from 1 species
ACGCUGGCGGCAGGCCUAACACAUGCAAGUCGAACGGUAACAGGAAGCAGCUUGCUGCUUCGCUGACGAGUGGCGGACGGGUGAGUAAUGUCUGGGGAUCUGCCUGAUGGAGGGGGAUAACUACUGGAAACGGUAGCUAAUACCGCAUAACGUCGCAAGACCAAAGAGGGGGACCUUCGGGCCUCUUGCCAUCAGAUGAACCCAGAUGGGAUUAGCUAGUAGGUGGGGUAACGGCUCACCUAGGCGACGAUCCCUAGCUGGUCUGAGAGGAUGACCAGCCACACUGGAACUGAGACACGGUCCAGACUCCUACGGGAGGCAGCAGUGGGGAAUAUUGCACAAUGGGCGCAAGCCUGAUGCAGCCAUGCCGCGUGUAUGAAGAAGGCCUUCGGGUUGUAAAGUACUUUCAGCGAGGAGGAAGGCGGUAAGGUUAAUAACCUUAUCGAUUGACGUUACUCGCAGAAGAAGCACCGGCUAACUCCGUGCCAGCAGCCGCGGUAAUACGGAGGGUGCAAGCGUUAAUCGGAAUUACUGGGCGUAAAGCGCACGCAGGCGGUCUGUCAAGUCGGAUGUGAAAUCCCCGGGCUCAACCUGGGAACUGCAUUCGAAACUGGCAGGCUAGAGUCUUGUAGAGGGGGGUAGAAUUCCAGGUGUAGCGGUGAAAUGCGUAGAGAUCUGGAGGAAUACCGGUGGCGAAGGCGGCCCCCUGGAC